rnacentral:tRNA from 1 species
UGGGAUAUAGCUCAGGGGUAGAGUAUUUGCUUAGUGUGCACCAGGCCCUGGGUUCAAUCCCUAGUACUACAA